CGUUAAAAUACUGGUUCUCAUACGAUCACCGAAGUUUAGCAACGUUGAGCCUGGUCAAUACCUAGAUGGGUAACCACUUGGGCAUACUGGGUGCUGUAAG